rnacentral:rRNA from 1 species
GAUGAACGCUGGCGGCGUGCCUAAUACAUGCAAGUCGAACGAACGGACUCGUAGUUUGCUUCUCUGACGUUAGCCGCGGGCGGGUGUGUAACGCGUGGAUACCCUACCUAUCAUACUGGUAUAACUUCGGGAAACCGGAGCUAAUACCGGAUAAUAUUUUGAACCGCAUGGUUCAAGAGUGAAAGACGGUCUUGCUGUCACUUAUAGAUGUAUCCGCGCUGCAUUAGCUAGUUGGUAAGGUAACGGCUUACCAAGGCAACGAUGCAUAGCCGAACUGAGAGGGUGAUCGGCCACACUGGAACUGAGACACGGUCCAGACUCCUGCGGGAGGCAGCAGUAGGGAAUCUUCCGCAAUGGGCGAAAGCCUGACGGAGCAACGCCGCGUGAGUGAUGAAGGUCUUCGGAUCGUAAAACUCUGUUAUUAGGGAAGAACAUAUGUGUAAGUAACUGUGCACAUCUUGACGGUACCUAAUCAGAAAGCCACGGCUAACUACGUG